UAUAUGUAUAGUAAGUCUGAGGUUCUCGUAAUUUCUAUUGCGUCUUGAAUGUAUACAAAAAUUUUUUAUCAUGUAGUUUUAUAUAUAUAAUAUUAUAUAUUGCAUAUAAUAGCAAGAAAAUUUACAUUUUUUUUCGAAAAUUUGAUAAAUUUGAGUUGUUUCCACGGUCUACCAGGUGAACAUUGAAAUAAUUUUUUCAGUUAUUAAUUACUGGAAAUUAAAAUAUUUUAUCAUAUUUAAUAAAUGUGAGGAUGGCUAAAUUUUGCUUAAUCACAAAUUAUAAGGGAUAUUAUAUUGUUGAGAAGGAGAAAAUAUUUCGUUUCAACGAAGAAAAGCAACUUGUCUCGAUUUGCAAUGACAACGAUUAUGAUGAGCACAAUGGAUCUCUAUUUAUUCGAAAUGUUGGAAUACCUCUUAAAGAAAUGACAAUCAUUGACACCGACGAUAACGUGAACGAGCUUAAAGGUCGUCACAAGACGAAAAAAAUCCGCACUUUAAAACUGUCAGCAUACAGUCCAGCCAUAACUUAAAGAAAACAAUCCAAAAGUGUCAUUAAUCGAAUGAAUAAAAAAGGACCAGGGAAUGUCAUUUCAGGAGAAUAUUAUAGAAAUUUAUUACCAGCUAAUGAUCAGGAGAAUAUUACUAGUAGGCCCGAUGAUGCUCCGGAAUACAGUGAUCGUACAGAUGAAAACCAUAAUAGUGAUAGUGAAAGUGCGGAAGUUGAUGAAACCCCAAAAAGAGGACUUUCCAACAACACAAACGUGAUUAAUCGUAAUAAUGGGCUACAAAACCGACGUGCCAAAAGAUUAAAACGGACGGUAGUAAACCAUCCUUUCCCGAAUCCAGCAAUAAAACUGUUAAAAACAGCUGUAAUGUCUCUAACUAAUGAAGUGAAGAAAUUAAGUAAUAUUAAUUGCCCAAUUAUUCAAGCAAGACCAACCCGUUGUCCAAAUAUGGAUGAAUCCAUCGCUAUUGAGAACGGCGAAGAGAUGACAGUAAUAGGUGACUUAAAGUUUUCAACAUCUACGUUGGCUGGUAUAUUGAUGGCAAAAAGAAUGAAGCUCCGCGCUCGGAGGAUUAUAAACGAAUUCUGGUCCAAGGAUGAAAUGAAGAGUUUGUAUAUUCGGAAAACGUCGAACCACAACGAAGAAAAUAGAAUCGUUACUCAAAAAGAAAUGACUAAGAUUAAGAAAAUCUACUUCCAUUUCGGCUGCCGAAUGGCCUUUUUUUUUAAUCAAUUCAUUAUUUAUUUGUGAACACAAGGAAUACAAAACUGUAGCUUCAAAUCGUUUCAUCUAAUUACAAUUUAGAUCUGUGCUUAUACCUGCAGCGUAAGCGGGACAUAAAAGUCAUUCCAGGAUCCGAAGACGACAUUGAUAUUUACCUGCCUCAGUGGAUUAGCUCCACUUUAAGAGACUGCCGAAACAACUUUAAAAA